UUUUAGCCCUGAUGGAAAUGGAAAUCCUUUGCUAAAAAAAGAUUCAUUUUUUCUUAUAAAAAAAGAGCGACCAACGGAAGCUCCUUUAUUUAUUUAGAAAAAUAAUCUUUUUCAGCAAAGAUUGAAAUGUACAGCAGGAUUAGCU
rnacentral:sRNA from 1 species